UACGAAGGGGGCUAGCGUUGUUCGGAAUUACUGGGCGUAAAGCGCACGUAGGCGGAUAUUUAAGUCAGGGGUGAAAUCCCAGAGCUCAACUCUGGAACUGCCUUUGAUACUGGGUAUCUUGAGUAUGGAAGAGGUAAGUGGAAUUGCGAGUGUAGAGGUGAAAUUCGUAGAUAUUCGCAGGAACACCAGUGGCGAAGGCGGCUCACUGGACCACAACUGACGCUGAGGUGCGAAAGCGUGGGGAGCAAACAGG
rnacentral:rRNA from 1 species